rfam:Salmo salar isolate Sally breed double haploid chromosome ssa08, whole genome shotgun sequence.
UGCACUCACUACUGUAAGUCGCUCUGGAUAAGAGCGUCAGCUAAAUGAUUAUAA